UGCCCCACCUGUAACCUUAACUACAAAUGGCUCUGUACUGCCUUUUUCAGAUAACGGCAACAAUGAUUUUGUUUCAAAAGGUUACUGUGACCAUCUUGCUAUGUCCACCUUGUUGCGAUGGCCUUGCAACCAUGUCUACGUUUCAGGUGUUGGUUAUGAUCAACCUGUUAAGCGUAUGCUCAGCUUCUGUAGCCCCAGAUAAUCCCUGGAGAUAAAGGGUCAACAAGUCAUGACUCAUGCAUCUGACAUCCCUAAAUCUUCCUGGCUGGAGUCUUUGCUUAGCUUGCCUUCCACACUCUCUCACUGCUGUGGCUGAGCUGAAAAGUUGGAAUGGAGACCUCUGGCCUAAAACACUUCCAGUCUGUCUCUACAGAAAGGAGUUUCCCCAUCAGUGAUGUAAAAGACAGCACUCUUAGGUUUCCCAAGAAAGCUGCUCUUGUGGAUGUUUUCAAAGAACAGAUCCUGGUGCCAUCUGAGAUAGUUCGGUGGGUAAAAAGCACUGGCCACCAUGGUGGGGAAUCUGAAUUCCAUCCCUGUGAUCCACAUUGUAGAAGAAGAGAACCAGUUCCUGUUAGCUGCCCUCUGAGUCCCACAUGUGCACAUGCAUGCACACAUAACGCACGUGUGCAUGGACACACAAUAAGUAAACAAAUAUAUACUAGCUCUAGGUAUGCAUACAUGGAAGGGAAUUUCUCCCAGUCCUUUACCCCUUUCUUAUUAUUUGAGACAAAGAACUGUGGUUAUCUGCCAACACAGGAAUCCAAGUGGAGACCAUUUCCCAGCAUCCCUUGCAGUUGUAUGUGGUCAUGUCCAGGCAAGGGGCUUUCUGCUUUUAUCAAGUACUGUUUUAGGUCCCAACUAGUCACCGAAUAAACACAACUUCUCUCUGUA